rnacentral:rRNA from 1 species
UACAGAGGUCUCAAGCGUUGUUCGGAUUCAUUGGGCGUAAAGGGUGCGUAGGCGGCGCGGUAAGUCGGGUGUGAAAUCUCGGAGCUUAACUCCGAAACUGCAUUCGAUACUGCGGUGCUUGAGGACUGGAGAGGAGACUGGAAUUCAUGGUGUAGCAGUGAAAUGCGUGAGAGAGUCAUGAGGAAGACCGGUGGCGAAGGCGACUCACUGGCCCGAUAACUGACGCUGGAGGCGACGAAAGCGUGGGGAGCAAACAGG